rnacentral:rRNA from 1 species
UACGUAGGUGGCAAGCGUUGUCCGGAUUUACUGGGCGUAAAGGGCGCGUAGGCGGCGUGGUAAGUCACUUGUGAAAUCUCUGAGCUUAACUCAGAACGGCCAAGUGAUACUGCUGUGCUAGAGUGCAGAAGGGGCAAUCGGAAUUCUUGGUGUAGCGGUGAAAUGCGUAGAUAUCAAGAGGAACACCUGAGGUGAAGACGGGUUGCUGGGCUGACACUGACGCUGAGGAGCGAAAGCGUGGGGAGCGAACAGG